AUACGAAGGGGGCUAGCGUUGCUCGGAAUUACUGGGCGUAAAGGGAGCGUAGGCGGACAGUUUAGUCAGAGGUGAAAGCCCAGGGCUCAACCUUGGAAUUGCCUUUGAUACUGACUGUCUUGAGUAUGGGAGAGGUUAGCGGAACUCCGAGUGUAGAGGUGAAAUUCGUAGAUAUUCGGAAGAACACCAGUGGCGAAGGCGGCUAACUGGCCCAUUACUGACGCUGAGGCUCGAAAGCGUGGGGAGCAAACAGGAUUAGAUACCCUGGUAGUCCACGCCGUAAACGAUGAGAGCUAGUUGUCGGCACGCAUGCGUGUCGGUGACGCAGCUAACGCAUUAAGCUCUCCGCCUGGGGAGUACGGUCGCAAGAUUAAA
rnacentral:rRNA from 1 species